rnacentral:rRNA from 1 species
UACGGAGGAGGCAAGCGUUAUCCGGAAUUAUUGGGCGUAAAGCGCGCGCAGGCGGUUUCUUAAGUCUGAUGUGAAAGCCCACGGCUCAACCGUGGAAGGUCAUUGGAAACUGGGGAACUUGAGUACAGAAGAGAAGAGCGGAAUUCCACGUGUAGCGGUGAAAUGCGUAGAGAUGUGGAGGAACACCAGUGGCGAAGGCGGCUCUGUGGUCUGUAACUGACGCUGAGGCGCGAAAGCGUGGGGAUCAAACAGG